rnacentral:tRNA from 2 species
AGGAGAAUAGUUCAAUGGCUAGAAUGACGGUCUCCAAAACCGUAGAUCUCAGUUCGACUCUGAGUUCUCCUG